CUGGCACCAAGACUGGCGGAGCCACCACACCCGUUAAAGGGAUCCACCUGGACAGCGAUCAGGCCACCUCCAAGGAUCAUGUAGGACCAGCAGAAGCAGUGUAAAGUAUUGGAACUUUGAAUCUGACAUCAGAAAGACCUGCACUCAGCCAGGCACGGAGGCUCACGAUUGUAAUCCCAGGCCGAGGCGGUGGAUCACUAGAGAUUCACUGAUUCUAGGUAAAUCAGAGGAACAAGCAACAUGAACAGAAAAAAUGUAGAAAAUGCAAUUAUGCUGAAGUAUAAUUGUUGUUUCAGAACUCCAGCAUCUGCUGUACUUAACAAUAGAGAAUAUAUUAAAUUUUUCCAAAAUAAAAAAACAA
rnacentral:antisense_RNA from 1 species